rnacentral:lncRNA from 12 species
GAAAUGGCAAAAAUAAAUCCCCACUAAACUAAGGACACUAAAGCCAAUAUUCAGAACCUCAAUAACAAAGAUGUUAAAGCAACUGGGGAGAAGCACACAGUCUUUCAAAAGAAUGGUGAUCUGUCAGACAGUGACCAUAUCCACAGCAAUUAUCUAAUAACAAUAUAACAUAAUGUGCUGGAUGAAAAGAACAGUCACAUCAUAAAGAAAAGAAGGGUGAAAAAAAGACAGGUUUCAGAUAAAAAAGUAGAAAACAUAAAAGAUAAAAAAUUUGAAAACACAGAACGUAUUUGGAAAGAUGAAAUGGAAGCCAGGAACGGAAGGUGAGCUGAGAAGUCUGUGAUUGAAUGCCAGUAGGUUUUGAUGAUUUCCACACCCAAACCAGGAAUCACUGAUUCGCAGAUAAUCCACCAAACAGAUGUAACUGAAGUACUGGAUGACAGUCACAUACAACUUGACUGGGAGCUCAAGUAUUCUAAGCUCCUUAUUUUGCACAAAGAAUGGGUGGCACCAUUGACUCAAAUAAACAACUCUAUGCUCAGAAAAGAAAGGAAAUCAGAAAUCUUAAAGAAGCAAAAGGAUACUCCACAGCCUGGUGAGAGUACCUCACAGGAAGAACACAGUGCCGUUGUCUCAAGUGACCUCCCCUGUGCCUCUGACAAUAAGAAUACGGAAGUCUUAAACACAGAUGAAGACAUUCUACUUUCUGGACCCUCUGGGUUGGCCCAAGGCCACAGCCAGAGGGCAGAAGUUUCAGACUCAGAAUAUAUUUCCCGUAUCUCUCCUGCAGACAAGCUCUUUGACAGAGAAUUCUGGAAGAACCAAGAGAAUGUGCCUCAGCCUGAGUCAUAUGUGGUCUCUCCUGGCAGUGAGAUUGCAGGAGAAAAGGCUUCUUCCUCAGAAUACGUCUGCAUCUCCCCUUCUGGUAAGUUUAUCCUCGCUAAAGAGGACGGUAAGGGAAAUACACAGGUCGCGUCUGAGCAGAGAUAGCAGGUACAACUGAGCUGCUCAGCCCAAGCCUGACUUAUCUUAUUCUCCCCUUGAGAGCAGAAGAGGGCUUCAGGGCAGAGGGACUAGGACUGAAGCCCCUGCAGAGGAACAGAAAGGGAGUGUAGCUUCAGGGGGAGGACCCAGUCACCGUUGUAGCUUCAGGUCAAGUAGAGCCCCGCAGUGGUGUGGACAUUUCAUCACACCCUUCCCCCUCAGAGGUGCAUGAACUCAACCUCACCCACACUCCUGCAUCUGUAUUCCUUCCUACCAGUUCUGGUCCCAUUUCUCCUUCCUUUUCUCCUUGCCUUCCUUCCUCAUUCACUUUCCCAGUCUCUGGCAUGGCAUAGCUACACCCUUGUCCCUUCAUUCCCUCACACAGUCAGACUCAUCCACUCACACACUAAUACCAUAAGUCCUUUACAACCCCUUGUACAGAUCACCUGUUUUAACUCCCUCACACUAAGCCAAACUGCAGAAAAUGGAUAUACCCUGAGGAGGAUGGACUUUCAUGUACAGCCUUUCUCAUCCACAUGCCACUUCACUCAUGAAGACUCGGGCACUUCACAGAGCGGCAUAUUUCAGGAGCUCAGGUCACUUCUGCUGGCAUUCUAAGCUACAGUGUCAACAGGAAACAGCAUUAUUCCCGCACUUGUUCACAUGCUCUGUCACACUAUGUAACACACAUGCACACACUCAUUCGCUGUCACCUCUGACUAACAUCAGAAACAGUCACCAGGGUACCUGCAUGGCUCAGUCAUUUGAGCAUCCGACUCUUGGUUUCAGCUCGGGUCAUGAUCUCAAAGUAGUGAGAUCCAGCCCCAUGUCACACUCCACGCUCAGCAAGGAGUCUGCUUGUCCCUUUCCCUCUGCUUCUUCACUUUCUGUCUCUCUCUGUAUCUCUCUCACAAAUAAAUAAAUAAAAUCUUAAAGGAAGCGUUCA